rnacentral:rRNA from 1 species
CCUACGGGUGGCAGCAGUGAGGAAUAUUGGUCAAUGGACGAGAGUCUGAACCAGCCAAGUAGCGUGAAGGAUGACUGCCCUAUGGGUUGUAAACUUCUUUUAUAUGGGAAUAAAAUGUUCCACGUGUGGGAUUUUGUAUGUACCAUAUGAAUAAGGAUCGGCUAACUCCGUGCCAGCAGCCGCGGUAAUACGGAGGAUCCGAGCGUUAUCCGGAUUUAUUGGGUUUAAAGGGAGCGUCGGUGGAUUGUUAAGUCAGUUGUGAAAGUUUGCGGCUCAACCGUAAAAUUGCAGUUGAAACUGGCAGGCUUGAGUACAGUAGAGGUGGGCGGAAUUCGUGGUGUAGCGGUGAAAUGCGUAGAUAUCACGAAGAACACCGAUGGCGAAGGCAGCUCACUGGACUGCAACUGACACUGAGGCUCGAAAGUGUGGGUAUCAAACAGGAUUAGAUACCCCAGUAGUC